CGGGACGUGGCUCAGUUUGGUAGAGCGCUUGGUUCGGGACCAAGAGGUCGCCAGUUCGAAUCUGGCCGUCCCGACCA
rnacentral:tRNA from 3 species